rnacentral:rRNA from 1 species
GACGAACGCUGGCGGCGUGCUUAACACAUGCAAGUCGAACGGAAAGGCCCCUUUGGGGGUACUCGAGUGGCGAACGGGUGAGUAACACGUGAGUAACCUGCCCUUGACUUCGGGAUAACUUCAGGAAACUGGGGCUAAUACCGGAUAGGAAUCCUUGCUGCAUGGUGGGGGUUGGAAAGCUUCGGCGGUUUUGGAUGGACUCGCGGCUUAUCAGCUUGUUGGUGGGGUAGUGGCUUACCAAGGCUUUGACGGGUAGCCGGCCUGAGAGGGCGACCGGCCACAUUGGGACUGAGAUACGGCCCAGACUCCUACGGGAGGCAGCAGUGGGGAAUAUUGCACAAUGGGCGGAAGCCUGAUGCAGCAACGCCGCGGGCGGGAUGACGGGCUUCGGGUUGGAAACCGCUUUCAGCAGGGGCGAAGCUUGUGGUGACGGUACCUGCAGAAGAAGCACCGGCUAACUACGUG